rnacentral:rRNA from 1 species
AUUGAACGCUGGCGGCAGGCCUAACACAUGCAAGUCGAGCGGAGCGGCGGACGGGUGAGUAAUGCCUAGGAAUCUGCCUGGUCGUUGGGGAUAACGUCCGGAAACGGGCGCUAAUCCCGCAUCCUAUCAGAUGAGCCUCGGUCGGGUUAGCUAGUUGGUGGGGUAAUGGCCUACCAAGGCGACGAUCCGUAACUGGUCGGAGAGGAUGAUCAGUCACACUGGAACUGAGACGCGGUCCGUCCUCCUACGGGAGGCAGCAGUGGGGAAUAUUGGACAAUGGGCGAAAGCCUUAUCCAGCCGUGCCGCGGGUGUGAAGAAGGUCUUCGGAUUGUAAAGCACUUUAAGUUGGGAGGCGUUACCAACAGAAUAAGCACCGGCUAACUUCGUGCCAGCAGCCGCGGUAAUAC